AGUUGCGUGUUCUAAUGGUUAUGAUUUCUCGUUCACAGCGAUGUGUACUAUCUCCGAGAAGGUUCUGGGUUCGAUCCCCAGCGCGACUA